CCUACGGGUGGCAGCAGUGAGGAAUAUUGGUCAAUGGACGCGAGCCUGAACCAGCCAUGUCGCGUGCAGGAUGACGGUUCUAUGGAUUGUAAACUUCUUUUGUCCGAGGGUAAACCCCGCCACGUGUAUCGUUCCGAGCGUACCCUACGAAUAAGCAUCGGCUAACUCCGUGCCAGCAGCCGCGGUAAUACGGAGGAUCCGAGCGUUAUCCGGAUUUAUUGGGUUUAAAGGGUUCGCAGGCGGAAGAUCAAGUCAGCGGGAAAAGUUAGGGGCUCAACCUCUUCGCGCCCUUGAAACUGGUGGUCUAGAGAGAGCGUGAAGUAGGCGGAAUGCAUGGUGUAGCGGUGAAAUGCUUAGAUAUCACACAGAACUCCGAUUGCGAAGGCAGCAUACCAAAGUAUAACUGACGCUGAGGCACGAAAGCGUGGGUAGCGAACAGGAUUAGAUACCCUAGUAGUC
rnacentral:rRNA from 1 species